rnacentral:rRNA from 1 species
CUGGGUGGAUUAGUGGCGAACGGGUGAGUAACACGUGAGUAACCUGCCCCCGACUUUGGGAUAAGCCCGGGAAACUGGGUCUAAUACCGGAUAUGACUUCCUGCCGCAUGGUGGGUUGUUGAAAGAUUUAUCGGUGGGGGAUGGACUCGCGGCCUAUCAGCUUGUUGGUGAGGUAAUGGCUCACCAAGGCGACGACGGGUAGCCGGCCUGAGAGGGUGACCGGCCACACUGGGACUGAGACACGGCCCAGACUCCUACGGGAGGCAGCAGUGGGGAAUAUUGCACAAUGGGCGGAAGCCUGAUGCAGCGACGCCGCGUGAGGGAUGACGGCCUUCGGGUUGUAAACCUCUUUCAGUAGGGAAGAAGCGAAAGUGACGGUACCUGCAGAAGAAGCGCCGGCUAACUACGUGCCAGCAGCCGCGGUAAUACGUAGGGCGCAAGCGUUAUCCGGAUUUAUUGGGCGUAAAGAGCUCGUAGGCGGUUUGUCGCGUCUGCCGUGAAAGUCCGAGGCUCAACCUCGGAUCUGCGGUGGGUACGGGCAGACUAGAGUGAUGUAGGGGAGACUGGAAUUCCUGGUGUAGCGGUGAAAUGCGCAGAUAUCAGGAGGAACACCGAUGGCGAAGGCAGGUCUCUGGGCAUUUACUGACGCUGAGGAGCGAAAGCAUGGGGAG